UCUACUUGCAAAUUUUUCUAGUUAAGAAAUUUCUUCCCAAACCAAUUAAUUUUGUAAGUAGAGGUACCACUGUACACAAAAUUUGAGUCAUCGCAAACAAAAAGUAAAUAGUUUCAUCUGAUAAGGAUGGGAAGUGAGACAGUUGACUGUCAAUGUUUUUAUUGGAAGUGGAGAGCCAUUUUCUGUAUUUUUUGGAGCCAACUUUGAAGCCACAGAUGAUGUUCAAGAUGAAGAAUGAUGGCGGCCUGACUGCCAGCGUGUGCUCAGCGUUGACCCCGACGGCACUCUGAGCGUCAAGGGUUUGAGUGCAGCUGGUGUCAGGGUGGAGAACGAGGGGAGUAGCUUUGGCUACGUCUGAAGAGUGUUUGUCUCCCCGUCCGAGUGCAUGUGGACGGUCAGGCCACGGUGCAGGUGGUGAGAAAAAGGACUUAGAAUUUAAGCAGCUGCAAUGUAGUCUCUUAUCAUUUUUUUUUUUCCUGGACAAUAAUUAAUUCAGACUAAUGGCAAUUUUCAGCAUUUCCGCCAUCGACCUCUGUGAGCGUGUGUUUGUUUUGACUCAAAAAGAUGAUGGAAGGCCUUUUGCUUGAAAGACGCUUGAUAAUACCAACACGACAAAUUAGAUUUAUUUAUUCCCCCUUUGUCCUUAUUGUUUUGCAAUCAAAUAUAUAGAACAAUGUUCCGAAGGUACAUUGUUAAGUUACAUUCACGAAACACGAAGGCAUCUAUUCUGAAAGGCUGCGCAAUUUGGUGUCUAGUAUGUCAAAGAGUGUCUCGAACAAAAAGGCUUGUUUGUCGAAGGCCUUUUUUUUUUUUUUAAAGCAUGCUCCUUGUUUCUUCCAAACGCGGCCGAACAAUUGCAGCGCUGGAGAGGCAUUCAGCUGCAGGUGCAUUACCUCCAGUUUGAUAUUAGCUGAUGUCUGAAAGGGGGAGAAUCGUCAGUAUUUUGUAUUAGCCUUUUGUCGUGCAUUUUGCCCCGACCUUCUUCAUUUCCCUGUUUUGAAUGCCGAGCAGCGAGGGUCUCUGUGGCGACAUAAUGCCCAUCACACAUGCAAAUGGUGUGAAAGGGCCGCUUAGCAAAGUGUUCUCACGUCAAUCCUUGUGGAAAUGGAUACAAUGCAAACAUUACAGCUGAACUAACCACGCGUUGCGCUGAGGGAAAAAGUCCGAGGGGUAGCGCCCCUUUGUCUCCGAGGCCCUUUGAAAAA